UCUUGUUAAUCAAAGAUCGAUAACGUAAUAUUUUUACUUAGGAAAAGCUUAAGUGUACAUAUUUUUUAGGUCACCUGAAACACUCGUAUAACCUGUUGCUAUUGGUCUGUAUCCGUCGUUGUCCAUCUUGUGUUAACUAGUCAACAUUAGGGAGAGGGCUGACAUAGGCUGUAUCUGCUGCCCAAUCCCAUUCAUUUUGUGAAUAAUAUAUUGUUUUAAUUGGAUAUUGUUUGAUAUCCCACUUGAGAAUUUUUCACGAAUAAAGAUAUAUUGUUUUUAUAUGCCCAUCUUUAGAUGGAAUGUAUUAUGGUACAGCGAUGUCUGUUACGUCCAUUCGUCUGUUCAGGGUUUUCUGUUUCUAAUUUCAUUUCUCUGUCACACAUUAAGGUAGAGACCGAUAGCAACCACGUGAUCAGUAAAAAUCGUGUAUUUUCACGUGAAAUUAUUUUUCGGAAUUCCGUACAUCGCCAUAGAGUAGUUGAAAAACAAAAAGGGGUUCCGAAAGUACAAGUUGUUGCUGUGACUGAAUCGAUGAUUGAGAGGGUCGUCUCGACGAAAGAUAUAGAAAUUUGGCCAUAGUUUAGAUUAGGAAUACGUCAAUGUAAUAAUAGUGGACUAAAUGUUUCGUCCGUGCAGAAUGGCACUUUUUACCUCACGAAAUCCACCACCAUGCAUAGCUGCGCUACGUAAACAAAGUUGUUGAUGUAGCGUAAUCGUGAUGUCCGAGUGCUGCGAGUUUCAAUACUGUUUAUGUAGUCAUUGAGAGUUUAAACAAAGUUUCUUCUGAGAAGAGGAAUUCGAUGGAUGCAUUCAACGUGGACAACGAAAUCAUAAUUUCGUUUGCAUCAUCCUAAGGACCAGUGCAAGUUGAAAUGGGCUUCCAGCCAACAACUUCAACAGCAAUUUGCCAUGAAAAUCAGCAAGAAAGGUACUUCAUUUACAUUGAUGAUGUCAUAUCCCCUGGACCCCACAACUUUACAGUUUACAGAGAAAAUUCAAGAACUUCUGCAAAAUGUGGGACUUGGAUAGAAUCAAUAAUGUAUUUGUGAGCCCAGAGCAAUGGAUAUAUUGUGCAACAUACUAAAGUGUGAAUUUAAUGGAAAACAAGUACAUGUACUCAUGUAUUACAUGUCUUUUUUAAAGACAAUAAUAUUGUAUAAAUAUAGAGGAAGUGUCAUUGUUGAUUAUUCUAAGUUUUUGAUAUAUCAAAAUCAGUAAACAUUUCUAAAUGAAAAUAAAAUACCAAUUUUAUAACUUUAAUCAAUGUGUUUGAGAUGACCUUCAAAACGGAUGCCCAGUGUCACAGUAGAUGUGGCACGCUAAAGAACCCUCACUGCUCAAUGGCCGUAAGCGCCGAGCAAAGGCCUAAAUUUAAAGCCAUUCACCGGUCUUGGUAACGUCUCCAUAUGAGUAAAAAAUUCUCUCGAGAGACGUUAAACAAGAUACAAUCAAUCAAUCCAUGGGUCGAUUGGGUGGAAAUCUUUCCAUUGAUAUUAAAUAUAAAGUUGUUAUUUAAACAUAUUUGGUGCACUAUGCUGUAUAAUCAUAUCAAUUUCUUAUAAUAGGUAAUCGUGUCUGGUUAUUAUAAAAAAAAUGUAUGAAAAAUAACUAAAUAUUAAUGCAAUCAUUGUGAGUGCAAAAAGGUCAAUCGCAAGAGCACAUACAUAAAUGCAUUGGCGGAUAUAAGGGGUGGGGUGGGGUGGGGUGGGGGGCAACCUGCGCGAGCCCCCCUAAAAUUUUCAAGUUUAAAGUAAAUCGUGGUCUCUUGUUUAGAGAAAUAUAUACGAUAAAAGCCAUAAUUUCCUCCACUCUCAGAGAAAUAAAUGUCUGACAAAAUCUUUUGAUUUAUUGAAUUACUUUUAGUGGGAGAACUGCUACUUUUUCCAAAAACCCUUAAAAUUUGCAUUAUUUUAUUAAUUUCACCUUAUUAAAAAUGACAGAAAAUAAUAAAAAUUACUACAUAGGAGACAUAUUUUAAGCCCUAAAAAAUCUGUAAAAUCCAGGAGUUUCUGGGGAAUCCCCCCCCCUUCAAGGCGGCCCCCAGACCCCUGCCUCAUACAGUUGCACCCCCCCUCCCAACUUCAAUUCCUGAUCCGCCCCUGAAAUAGCUUAUAGAAACCUUCUUAUUGUCAUGUUCAAUUUUCAAAGAGGUAAUUUGGGAAUGCUUAAACAUUCUAAGUUAUAAAAAGGUCAGUAGUUUAUCUCUGCUGGCUGAAUCUUUCUUCUCAAUGCACCGAGUGCAAUUCAUGACGUCUAUGUUCCUGCUCAUUCUUUCUCCUCCAUACCAUGCAGUAUAUUAAAGGGGUUGGGAUGUAAUGGAGACAUUUGUUUUAACAAAUAUAAAUUGUAUUUCAAUUUUUUGUGGGGAUUUUUAUUUGGGAAAACUCUUGAUAUUAAUCAUCAAAUAUGAUGACGUAUGAUAAAUCUAUAUUCUGAGUGUAAGUGCACAAAGGUCAACAACGAGAACUACAACAAAAUAUAAGCUAAAAUUUGAAAUACAUACUUUCUGUAUUAUAUUUAUUAAUUUAAAAAAGGUAUUACAAAGAAUCUUCGAAUUUCAGCAAGCUGUUUUUGAUGGAUUGUUUACAACAUCUUUUAAUAACCCUUUUUCUUACGAAAAUGUGUAGUUUGUUAAAAGGGGGUGGGGUUAGGAAUUUUUUGCUACUUCCAUAUUGAACCCCAUUAUGGUGUAUAAUUUUUUUCAUAUAUUUUACUUACUAAUAGACUGACCACUUAAUGAAAUAAAAUAAGAAAUUUGAUGGGUAAUUUUUUUGCAGCGUAAGCAAAGGUAUGACCCUGUGUGCAAAUAUUGUGCACUGUUUUAAGGUAAUUGGCCAAUGUAGAUCUGUUGAAGUAAUGUUGUUGCAUGUUAAUAAUGAUUGCUGAACUUGAAAUUGAUGUGUAAUAUACAAUUAUGUGAAAGGUUGUUUGGAACCAUAUAUGACAAGUUAUUAUCCUUUUUACAAUAAAAAUGUUAUAGCUCUAUUUGUAUAUUGCUCUCUACUUAUUUUUCUUCACUUUUUACGCUUUACAAGGACUAAAGAAGGUGUUGUUAAAAUCGCCAUAUUUCUCAAAAACAAGGUCGAUUACCUACAUUGAUUUUUUAUUAUGUUUUAUAUCGAAGCUUCAUUAUAAACAUAUAUCAAAAUAAAAAAAAUUCAAUGGUUAUUUUUUUUAGCAUCAACCUAUCAAUCUCUACCUUAAGCUGAAACUUGCUAUAUAGCUUCUUUGUGGAUCACUCUAGAUCAUGUUACAAUCCUGAUCCAUUUUGACCUCUCUUGCAGGAGUUUUGCCCCUUUAUUUGAAAAUUAUUGUUAUAUGGAAGGUAUAUAAUUUGUCCGGCGAACUCCUCCAACAAUUUUCAAGUGAGGACCAUCUUGAGGACCAUCUUCUCUUACAGAAUGUAUGUAUGGGUAUUGAAGGUGUACAUGUGGAUUUUGAUUUUCUUCAAUUUUGGAAAAAAUUAGAGGUUGUUGAACUUCGUCAAUUUUGAGAAAAUAUUACGAAGUCUGUUUUGAGAAAAUAUUACAAAGAGAGUACAUAAUUUGUUCAGUGAACUCCUCCCACAUUUUUCAAAUGAGAACCUUCUGAUUUUACAAAGUGUUUAUUUGGGUAUUGAAGGUAUAUAUGCAUGUGGCAAUGAUUUUGAUUUUCUUUAAUUUUCGAGAAAAUUACUGGUUAUUGAACAUAGUCAGUUUUGAGGAAUUAUUACAUAGAGAGUACACGAUUUGUCUGUUUUUCCUUCCACAGUUUUCAAGUGAGGACUUUCUUAUUUUACAGAGCAUUUGUAUGGGUAUGGAAGAUGUGAAUGUGGCAAGGAUUUUAAUUUUCUGAAAAUUUUGAGAAAAUUACAGGUUGUUGAAUUUAGUCAGUUUUGAGGAAAUAUUGCAUAGAGAGUACUGCAUGAUUUGUCUUUUAUUUUUCCUUUGACAGUUUUCAAGUGAGGACCUUAUUAUUUUACAGAUUAUUUGUUUAGGUAUCGAAGAUGUGCAUGUGGCAAGGAUUUUGAUUUUCUUCAUUUUUAAAGAAAAUUACAGGUUAUUGAACUCAGUCCAUUUUGAGGAAAUAUUGCAUUAAAUGAAGGACAUAGUUCGUCCUUAUAACUCUUCUCACAGUUUAGAAGCUAGGGUAAUUGUGAAUAACUUGAAGAUGCAUAGUGCAAGGAUUUUGAUUCUUAAAAUUUUUUUAUUUUCUUUGACAUUUUGAAUAUUUACAGGUUGUAGAACUUGGUCGAAUUUGGGGAAGUAUUUUACACGCAGAACUAUUGGUUUGUCUAUAUACCUCCUGUCAUAGUUUUAAGCUAAGACCCUUUCUUCAUAUUAUGCAAAGAAAGUACAUGUAUGUCACAGCCUGAUGUUGGCUGAUAUUACCUGAAGCAAAGUUCUACAAAUUAUGAUGCAAGAAAGACACCCUAUGUAAGCAUUUUCACGGGCAUAUUUGCGGUACUCUUGUUAAAAAAGAUAUUGAACAUUUUUAACUUCUUGACAAACACCAUUCCAAUUCUUUUCAAAUUUGAUAUGAAGCAUCUUAAGGACAAGGGAAACAAGAGUUAUAAAUUUCAGGACUCCUGCACCACUGUGGCUGUACAGGUGGGGCAAAAACUGCCAAAAAUUGACCAAUUUUAAAAAAUCAAUUUCUGCAACUACACACCUGUAAGAAAAACUGAAUACAUAGUCAUGGAGAGCAGGAAAGCCUCUACCAAAAUUGUAAAUAUCAUGAUCCCCAGGGUAGAGGGCUGGGCCAAACUUAGCAUGCAUAUAGUGUUAAUGUGUACAAUAUUUUUAAAAGGAACAGUUGCCCUUUAGCAUAAUUUGUAAAUGUCAUGAUCGUAGGGUUAGGGGUUUUGGUACCAGGGUGGGGCCAGAAUGGUCAUAUUGAUUUAUUGUGUUUUUAUUAUUUAAAAGACUUUUUAAAAUUUAAAUUAAAAAUUUUUGCUAAUAUUAUAUAUAAACUAAAUACAUAUUUAGGAAAAGCAGAAAGGGAUGACCAAAUUGUGAAUUUUACAAUCCCAGGGCUCUGACUCUAGGACGGGUCCAUAAUAGUCAUAUAUUAUUAAUAUAACAUAUAUAAUAUAAAGUUUUUCAUCAGUAUGGGCACUUUGGGGGUGGGAGGGGGGGCAUUUAUGUUUUUCUAAAAGAACACAUCUUAUUUUAUGCUGCUGCUGAAUAUCAAAAUUUAGCUUACAUAUGCAAAACUUAGAUUCCAUAGCCCUUUGGGCUAGUGAUACUUUUAACUACUACUCAGGUGACCGUCUAGUGAUACUUUUAACUACUACUCAGGUGACCGUCUAGUGAUACUUUUAACUACUACUCAGGUGACCGUCUAGUGAUACUUUUAACUAAUACUCAGGUGACCGUCUAGUGAUACUUUUAACUACUACUCAGGUGACCGUCUAGUGAUACUUUUAACUAAUACUCAGGUGACUGAUAGUGAUAACUUUUAACAAAUACUCAGGUGACCGUCUAGUGAUACUUUUAACUACUACUUAGGUGACCGUCUAGUGAUACUUUUAACUACUACUCAGGUGACCGUCUAGUGAUACUUUUAACUAAUACUCAGGUGACCGUCUAGUGAUACUUUUAACUACUACUCAGGUGACCGUCGAAUGAUACUUUUAACUAAUACUCAGGUGACCGUCUAGUGAUACUUUUAACUAAUACUCAGGUGACCGUCUAGUGAUACUUUUAACUACUACUCAGGUGACCGUCUAGUGAUACUUUUAACUAAUACUCACUGACAAGUGACCGUCUAGUGAUACUUUUAACUAAUACUCAGGUGACCAUCUAGUGAUACUUUUAACUACUACUCAGGUGACCUUCUAGUGAUACUUUUAACUACUACUCAGGGGACUAAUAGUGAUACUUUUAACUACUACUCAGGUGACCGUCUAGUGAUACUUUUAACUACUACUCAGGCGACUAAUAGUGAUACUUUUAACUACUACUCAGGUGACCGUCUAGUGAUACUUUUAACUACUACUCAGGCAACUAAUAAGGCCUAUGAGUCUCUUGUUUGU